GAUGAACGCUGACAGAAUGCUUAACACAUGCAAGUCUACUUGAUCCUUCGGGUGAUGGUGGCGGACGGGUGAGUAACGCGUAAAGAACUUGCCCUGCAGUCUGGGACAACAUUUGGAAACGAAUGCUAAUACCGGAUAUUAUGCGAGAUUCGCAUGUUUCUCGUAUGAAAGCUAUAUGCGCUGCAGGAGAGCUUUGCGUCCUAUUAGCUAGUUGGUGAGGUAACGGCUCACCAAGGCGAUGAUAGGUAGCCGGCCUGAGAGGGUGAACGGCCACAAGGGGACUGAGACACGGCCCUUACUCCUACGGGAGGCAGCAGUGGGGAAUAUUGGACAAUGGACCAAAAGUCUGAUCCAGCAAUUCUGUGUGCACGAUGAAGUUUUUCGGAAUGUAAAGUGCUUUCAGUUGGGACGAAGUAAGUGACGGUACCAACAGAAGAAGCGACGGCUAAAUACGUGCCAGCAGCCGCGGUAAUACGUAUGUCGCAAGCGUUAUCCGGAUUUAUUGGGCGUAAAGCGCGUCUAGGCGGUUUGGUAAGUCUGAUGUGAAAAUGCGGGGCUCAACUCCGUAUUGCGUUGGAAACUGUCAAACUAGAGUACUGGAGAGGUGGGCGGAACUACAAGUGUAGAGGUGAAAUUCGUAGAUAUUUGUAGGAAUGCCGAUGGGGAAGCCAGCCCACUGGACAGAUACUGACGCUAAAGCGCGAAAGCGUGGGUAGCAAAUAGGAUUAGAUACCCUGGUAGUCCACGCCGUAAACGAUGAUUACUAGGUGUUGGGGGUCGAACCUCAGCGCCCAAGCUAACGCGAUAAGUAAUCCGCCUGGGGAGUACGUACGCAAGUAUGAAACUCAAAGGAAUUGACGGGGACCCGCACAAGCGGUGGAGCAUGUGGUUUAAUUCGACGCAACGCGAGGAACCUUACCAGCGUUUGACAUCCUAGGAGGUUGGCAGAGAUGCCUUCGUGCCCCUUCGGGGGAACCUAGUGACAGGUGGUGCAUGGCCGUCGUCAGCUCGUGUCGUGAGAUGUUGGGUUAAGUCCCGCAACGAGCGCAACCCCUUUCGUAUGUUGCCAUCAUUAAGUUGGGAACUCAUGCGAUACUACCUGCGAUGAGCAGGAGGAAGGUGGGGACGACGUCAAGUCAUCAUGCCCCUUAUACGCUGGGCUACACACGUGCUACAAUGGGUAGUACAGAGAGUCGCUAACCUGCGAGGGGGAGCUAAUCUCAGAAAACUAUUCUCAGUUCGGAUUGUACUCUGCAACUCGAGUACAUGAAGUUGGAAUCGCUAGUAAUCGCAAAUCAGCUAUGUUGCGGUGAAUACGUUCUCGGGUCU
rnacentral:rRNA from 1 species